GAAAUUUUAGCUUAACUAAAGCGUUUGGUUUGCAAUCAGAAGAUGUAAGUAAUUAUUACAAGUUUUC
rnacentral:tRNA from 1 species